GACGAACGCUGGCGGCGCGCCUAACACAUGCAAGUCGAGCGAGAACCGGAGCUUCGGCUCCGGGGACAGCGGCGAACGGGUGAGUAACACGUGGAUAACCUGCCCUCGGCACCGGAAUAGCCCGGGGAAACCCGGAUUAAUGCCGGAUAGCCCCACAUCCCUGCGGGGAACGUGGGAAAAGGUAGCUUCGGCCUCUGGCCGAGGAUGGGUCCGCGGUGGAUUAGCUUGUUGGUGCGGGUAAUGGCCCACCAAGGCGACGAUCCAUAGCUGGUCUGAGAGGACGAUCAGCCACACUAGGACUGAGGCACGGCCCAGACUCCUGCGGGAGGCAGAAGUGGGGAAUCGUGCGCAAUGGGCGAAAGCCUGACGCAGCGACGCCGCGUGCGGGAAGAAGGCUUUCGGGUUGUAAACCGCUUUCAGGAGGGACGAAGCCACUCGGGUGAAUAGCCCAGAGGGUGACGGUACCUCCAGAAGAAGCCCCGGCUAACUACGUGCCAGCCGCCGCGGUAAUAC
rnacentral:rRNA from 1 species